GACGAACGCUGGCGGCGUGCUUAACACAUGCAAGUCGAACGGAAAGGCCCCUUUGGGGGUACUCGAGAGGCGAACGGGUGAGUAACACGUGAGUAACCUGCCCUUGACUUCGGGGUAACUUCAGGAAACUGGGGCUAAUACCGGAUAGGAAUCCUUGCUGCAUGGUGGGGGUUGGAAAGCUUCGGCGGUAUUGGAUGGACUCGCGGCUUAUCAGCUUGUUGGUGGGGUAGUGGCUUACCAAGGCUUUGACGGGUAGCCGGCCUGAGAGGGCGACCGGCCACAUUGGGACUGAGAGACGGCCCAGACUCCGACGGGAGGCAGCAGUGGGGAAUAUUGCACAAUGGGCGGAAGCCUGAUGCAGCAGCGCCGCGUGCGGGAUGACGGCCUUCGGGUUGUAAACCGCUUGCAGCAGGGGCGAAGCUUGUGGUGACGGUACCUGCAGAAGAAGCACCGGCUAACUACGUG
rnacentral:rRNA from 1 species